CUCUUCCUGUGUGAGGUAGGGUCGUACUCUACGGAUGUUCCUCUUCCUGUGUGAGGGAGGGUCGUACUCUACGGAUGUUCCUCUUCCUGUGUGAGGUAGGGUCUCUUCCUGUGUGAGGUAGGGUUGUACUCUACAGAUGUUCCUCUUCCUGUGUGAGGUAGGGUCGUACUCUACGGAUGUUCCUCUUCCUGUGUGAGGUAGGGUCGUACUCUACAGAUGUUGUAGAGCAUGUUUGCAGAGAACAACAGGGUGUUGUCCAGGGUCACGCCAAGGUUCUUUGCUCUCUAGGAGGACGACACUGUGGAGUUGUCAACUGUGAUGGAGAGGUCUUUGAGCGGGCAGGUCUUCCCCAGGAGGAAGAACAGUUCCGACUUGUUGAGGUUGAGGUGGAGGGCCGACAUCCAAGCUGAGAUAUUUGCCAGGCACCAGAGAUGCGUGUC
ensembl:lncRNA